GGGACUGUCGGCGGUCUAUACAUGCAGUCGGACGGGAUUGGAGAGCUUGCUUUCCAUGAGAGUGGCGCACGGGUGCGUAACACGUAUGUAACCUACCUUAAUCUGGGGGAUAGCCUCUCGAAAGAGAGAUUAACACCGCAUAACAUUACCGGACAGCAUUUUUUGGUAAUCAAAUAUUUAUAGGAUUAAGAUGGGCAUGCGGAACAUUAGCUAGUUGGUAAGGUAAUGGCUUACCAAGGCUACGAUGUUUAGGGGAUCUGAGAGGAUGACCCCCCACACUGGUACUGAGACACGGACCAGACUCCUACGGGAGGCAGCAGUAAGGAAUAUUGGUCAAUGGGCGCAAGCCUGAACCAGCCAUGCCGCGUGCAGGAAGACGGCCCUACGGGUUGUAAACUGCUUUUGUACCGGAAUAAACCCUUUUACGUGUAAGAGGCUGAAUGUACGGUAAGAAUAAGGAUCGGCUAACUCCGUGCCAGCAGCCGCGGUAAUACGGAGGAUCCAAGCGUUAUCCGGAUUUAUUGGGUUUAAAGGGUGCGUAGGUGGCCUAUUAAGUCAGGGGUGAAAGACGGUAGCUUAACUAUCGCAGUGCCUUUGAUACUGAUGGGCUUGAAUGAACUAGAGGUAGGCGGAAUGUGACAAGUAGCGGU
rnacentral:rRNA from 1 species